rnacentral:misc_RNA from 1 species
GAAAUGCGAUAAGUAAUGUGAAUUGCAGAAUUCAGUGAAUCAUCGAAUCUUUGAACGCGCAUUGCGCCCGCCAGUAUUCUGGCGGGCAUGCCUGUUCGAGCGUCAUUUCAACCAUCAAGCCCCCGGCUUGUGUUGGGGACCUGCGGCUGCCCGCAGGCCCUGAAAAACAGUGGCGGGCUCGCUGUCACACCGAGCGUAGUAGCAUACAUUCUCGCUCAGGGCGUGCUGCGGGUUCCGGCCGUUAAACGACCUUCAUAACCCAAGGUUGACCUCGGAUCAGGUAGGAAGACCCGCUGAACUUAAGC